AACUUUCAACAACGGAUCUCUUGGUUCCGGCAUCGAUGAAGAACGCAGCGAAAUGCGAUACGUAAUGUGAAUUGCAAAUUCAGUGAAUCAUCGAGUCUUUGAACGCACAUUGCGCCCCCUGGUAUUCCGGGGGGCAUGCCUGUCCGAGCGUCA
rnacentral:rRNA from 3 species